rnacentral:rRNA from 1 species
UCUAUACGGUGAAACUGCGAAUGGCUCAUUAAAUCAGUUAUAGUUUAUUUGAUAGUACCUUACUACAUGGAUACCUGUUGGUAAUUCUAGAGCUAAUACAUGCUUAAAACUCCGACUUCGGAAGGAGUGUAUUUAUUAAAUAAAAAACCAAUGCCCUUCGGGGCUCCUUGGUGAAUCAUAAUAAACUUGUCGAAUCGCAUGGCCUUGCGCCGGCGAUGGUUCAUUCAAAUUUCUGCCCUAUCAACUUUCGAUGGUAGGAUAGUGGCCUACCAUGGUGGCAACGGGUAACGGGG